rnacentral:rRNA from 1 species
UACGGAGGAUGCAAGCGUUAUCCGGAAUGAUUGGGCGUAAAGCGUCCGCAGGUGGCGAUGUAAGUCUGCUGUUAAAGAGUGAGGCUCAACCUCAUAAGAGCAGUGGAAACUACAUAGCUAGAGUACGUUCGGGGCAGAGGGAAUUCCUGGUGUAGCGGUGAAAUGCGUAGAGAUCAGGAAGAACACCAGUGGCGAAGGCGCUCUGCUAGGCCGUAACUGACACUGAGGGACGAAAGCUAGGGGAGCGAAUGGG